AUUAUUUAAGGAAUGUCCUUCCAGUCUGCAGGCAGAUAGGCUCUCCAAGGAGAUUUUGGCAGGGGUGAAAUGACUGGCAUUUUGACCUGAGCGAAAUUUCUGAAUUUCCGAGCUGUGAUAGACACUGGAGCUUCUGGCUCUUGGGACUCUAGCAGAACCCCACCUGCUCACCCGCAGGCCUCAGGCCUUCAGAUUAGGACUGAAUUCCACCACUGGCUUUCCGGGUUCUCCAGCUUGCAGAUGGCAGAUGAUGAGACUUCUCAGCCUCCAUAAUCAUGUGAGCCAAUUCCCAUAAUAAAUCUCUCUCUCUCUAUCUCUGUCUUACUCUCUCUUGAUUCUGUUUCUCUGAAGAACCCUAACUAAUACAGAUACCUUCAUUUUACAAAUGAAUAAAGUGCAGUGCCAGAGAAGUUCUGUGAAUUGUCUAGGGUCAUACACUCCUUCAUUUAUUUAAUUGUGCAUUAAGUCAACUAGUAUUCUAGGUACCAAGGAAGUCAACAUACUAGACCACAUUGCCUGUCUUCAAGAAAGUUAUGUUUUGGUUAG
rnacentral:lncRNA from 1 species